ensembl:lncRNA
CACAUCAUCCCAACAAAAGGAUGCCUUCAGUGACCCGCUGGAGCCCUCUAGAGUUUAGAUCCAGUCUGACUCCAGAUGGAGGCCAGGAAAUGAAAGAGGAAGUCUGGUUGCAUGGAUGUUGGUCUCCAUGGAUACACCACAACAAAUCAGCACCGAGGCAGAGAUUUAGCAGAAGCGACGGAGGCGUAUUUUUAAACUGUUUAGAGUUCAGUUUCCGAGUUCUCUGAGGUUGUUAAUCCUGACUGAGCGGAGGCCAUGUACAGAGUUUCCUCGUCGGUUAAAGUGAAGCAGAUGGAGGCAGAGCUGUCGCAUCAACUCGCAGCUCUCAGGGCGGAAAUCGAGGAGAAUGGGUUUCCACGAGGAGCAGGGACGGCCAACUCUUACAGCUCUGUUCCACCUCCCAAAGAUGUUUCCUUCUUUCGUCUGGAGAGGGAACAUGCACUGAGGAGGGAGCUGCAGGUGGCUGAAGCUUCGCGGGUUCAGUCUGCGGCUGACGUCAUGCAGGAAGAGCUGCAGAGCUGCUGGAGUUUAGAAUACAGUCCUGAAAAUCUGCUGCUUCUGCUGCACCAGUUCUUCAUGGACAGAUCGUAUCACCUGGCUCAGAUCAAAUAUCAACUCAUGCUGAGAUGGAGGAGAUUCUGUCGCCACACCGGCGUCAUCGAGAAGCUUUAUCCUCAUUACAAGGUUUCCCAGAGACUAUGGGUUGAGGAGGAAGUGGAAGUUUGUCGGCUUAGACCUGGUGUCAUUCCAUCAGUGUUUAACUUCCCGGCUCAUCUUUGAAGAGUACGUGCCAGAAAGACCACGACCAAGCAGCCUUGAGAUCUUAGACAGCGUCUCCCUCAGGUCCCUCUCUAUUUCCCCACACAUCCACCAACCACUGGAACACAUCUCCAAAGUUCUGCCGGGCCAGCUCAGCUUCCCCUCAGAAGAAGUUCCACCACCUGCCAGAUGAAGGAGCCUUUUGAGAGGCAGCUGGCAUCGUGAUUGGACUGUACUUUGGUCUGUUCCAAUCCAGCUUCAGCUCCAGAGACGGCAGGCGGGACGAGUCAACGGAGGCCGGGUGGACGAAGGUGAAACCCAGACGAGAUCCAUGGCAGCAGAAGCUCCUCACACAGCUGAAGGAAAAGAAAUCAGCCGAUGAGCUGCUGAAGAUGCACAGCAGGUUUCUACAGGUCUCUGAUCUGCUUCAUGUAGCUGCAGCUUUAAAACAACAAGCAGCUCAUGUUGGAGACUCACAAUCAUCAUCACACAACAGCAGGACAAAACAUGAAAAGAUCUCUGAGAUCUGGACGAGCGUUUACAGUGCUGCCAGUCUUUCUCCCGCAGCGUAACAGACAAAAGCCGCGAUUCCACAAGCAUCUACUCGGCGCGGUACGGUUCGCCACUAUUGUAUCUGACUCGGCUCGUCUCGGUUUAGUUGUUUUUCCAUAUAGCCUCAUCGUGGGUGGAGUCUCAUAGCGCAGCGAGCCGAAAGUCCCUUAACGUCAUUUGCGUGCGACACAAACGCAACAUAACGGAGGCGAUGGUUCACCUGCUGCUCGGUCUGUGGCUUUCUGUCAGAUUCAAAGUAAUAGAAGAGUCGGAGAAAGCUGAGAGUGGCGAGUGGAAACACUGAGGAGACACACAGGAGAGUUUGGGAGGCGAUACAGCAGUAUCAAGCCGAAGACAAGAGGAUAUGAACGAGACGACAUAUGAGGAUGCUCUCUGAUGAGACUUCAUGGGAUUUACCUGAAGCAGCAGCACAUGAGCCUGCAGUGGCACAAGGUGUAGAGGAGGAGGACAGAGAUGUACAGGAUGCACUGAUGCACUACGUGUCAUGCAAAGUUAUUCUUCUCGUUAGACUUCUGUUUUUCUGUCCCCGGACCACUAUUGUGUUCUUUAAUGCAAUUCUGACAAACUUUUGUACGUUUUGCAGAUGUGUCUAUGCUAUUGUUUUAUUUGUGAAGGUUAGCAAGAUUACAUGACAAACACCAAAACAUUAAAACUGCUGUUUUAAGAAUAUUCCAGUUUGAUAAAUCAGUAUUGCUUUGGUGUAAUUCAGUCAACAGAAUUAUGAGCCAUAAAGUAGUUUGUGUUAAAACAUGUUAAAUCCCAUUAAACAUAAAUGCAUUAUUAGGGAAUACAGAAUCGUUUGGUUCAGACUGUUGACUCUUUUCCUACCAGUGUCUUAACAGACAAAAUGAAAAGUUAUGAUGCAAUCACAUAAGUCACAAAAUAGUUUAUUAGUCAGCAGCAAAAUCCAAACUAUUUACAAUGUGCAAAGUACAAACUGUGGUGGGCCUGUGCUACAGUGGAGGGCUAAAAGUAAAACUAUAUACAACUAAAUCUCAAGUCUCUGGGAAGUGGACUCUGGCUGCCCACUACCUGCACCAGCUGCCCCAGCACACCCAGGAAUGACUGGUUGAAGGCAGCAUUCUGGACCAUCUCCUCCCGCUGCAAGGCCGCUUCAUUCUCUCUUGCCUCGCUGAGGAGCAACCAGAUGUUCUCAUCAUGUUGGGCACAGUUCCGCUCCUUCUCAGCCUGCAUCUCCACAAGUAUGCUUGGAAGGUCCAAUUUUCUGUGGCCCCUUUUCCUCUUGCCUAGAACAAAGACAGAAAAGUGAUCACAAUCAGCUUUAGUAAGUACACAACAUGCAAGGAAUUUGGUUUCGGCUGUUGGUGUCACACUAGGAAUAUGGAAGAGAAUAAUAAAAAAUGAAUAAUAAUUUUUUCCACUUUUUCUGUUUUUCUACAGUAGAAGAGUCAACACACACACACACACACACAUUUCAGCCUGAGGGAACAGUCCACCUUCCAUCAAUUAAUCAUCAGCCCUUUCAUCUUUAAUUAAACUCACCGUCUUUAAAGCACACCCCUUCACGCAUGCCAUCGCUGUGGCUGCACACACACUCGCUCGUACGCAGAAACAAUGCAGUGCUCUGUGCUUCCUUAUGGCAAAUGUUCAGUGGGCGCAUGAGCGCAUGAACGCACACACGCACUUGUGUCUUGGGAUGUGGUCUCAGAGGAUGAGCUCCCUCCAGGGAUUCCCUCAGCCACUGGCCUUCCCAAAUUCUGGCUUAGGACCAGCUCCUCUGCCUCCGUUAGAGGUGGUGCUGCUGGGCCUCCUCCCUUUUCACAGGCAUCUCCUUUCUUUCUGUUGGCUGAGUAGAAGUCUGUGUUAGUUUAAAUAGGCUUAAUUGUUUAACGGAACAUGAUAUGGAUGCAGACAUUUAGGCUAUGUGUGGGAUAGAACCACUGCACAGUCAAACAGCCACUUAAUAUUUAGGCUACUUUACAAUGUAAAACAUGAUCAAAAUGAGGUAGCUCCAUGAGAUUAUGCCGACUUCUUACCUGUUUGAACAAUGUUUUUAUAUUUCAUCUUCAGCUCCUGCCACAUGCGCUUCUCCCCCGCAGGAUUGCACCUAAAUGAAAUAACAGAAUAGGCUGCUAUUAAACAGUUUUCCUAUAAUAUUAUUGUGAUUUAAACUUGCGCAAUGACCCGGGCAGCAAUGUUCUCCCACGCCGUCUCCCUCUUUUGCAGCUGCAGGUGCUGCACUUCUUUCUAAAAACGUGUUCGAAGUCGCCAUAUGAACGCAUUAAGAUGUCCACUUCAAGUGGUGUAAAAAACGUAGCUCUCCGCUCCCCCGUCACCACGGUGAGUCGUCGAAUCGGGGUUCCAUUGAUGCUGUCUUUUUAUAGUUGCGGUGCACUCUGGGUGAAACUACUCCGAGUUGAUUAAACCAACUCAAAUCAGCCGUUGUUAAACCGAAAACUCAGAGUUUUCUAUCUCAGAGUAGAUCAACUCAGAGUUCAGGGUUACACAGAGUUUGUUGAACCUGCUUCGUGGAACGGACCCAGGGUCAUUUAAGGGACGGUUUGGGCCCUGAGUUGGACAACGCAGGCACAGACACAGAGAGACUUGCAGAAUAAUGGAAUAAUGGAAAGAGUUUCAUUUAAAAAGAUAACUAAACUAAUACAUAAAUGGAGAGCUGAACUGUGGAAACAAAACUAAACCUAACUAUUCAAAACCCAGCAAACACUACGAAUACAGAAACGGAAGUCAACCAAUACUAAACUGGAUUAACAAAAGUAAACUAAAGAGGGAUACUCACAAGAGGAGAAAAAGGGUCGAGGAAAAAGGAGUCCAGAAGUGGGGAAGCAGAGUCCAUGAGGGAGCAGAGCGUGUGAAGCCAUGUGAGUCUUUGUGGGAAUCUGAGCCUGGAGGGAAGCAGGCGUCCAGUAGUUGAUGGUCAAACAGGCAAAGAGUCACUAAGCAGAGUUUAAAUAGUGAGCAGGUGAUAUUGAGGGCAGGUGAGCUGAUUACUGCAAUGUGAGUCACCUGCAGUAAUCAGCUGAGUGCAGACAGGUGAAGCAGGGAGAGCAAGAGACAGGGACGAGGAAAGAUGACAGACAG